AUGCCUGUAAGGCCUCUUCCUGCUUUAGUUUUUUUGCUCACUUCCUGGGUUUGUACUACUGUGAAAACUACUCGUUUUCUGCUAGUUAGUGGUGUGUGUUAAUGUUGGUUGACUUGUCUGUGGUAUUUGUGUGUUUAGACAUUCCUUUUAAUGCUGACUACUGCCUGUUCUUUUGACUUUGAUUCUGGAUUGCCCCGUUUGGACUUAUUAGCUAUUACCUGUAAAUAUUUGUAGAUAGUGUUAUUGGGGAGGAGGGAGACCGAUGCCAUUUUUGUUUAAACCUUUUGUAAACGACCGGUUGUGUCACUUAAAAUUUUUCUUGAGGAUGUUACAUGUUUCAGCAUGUUUUCUUGAGCAUGUUAGGUCAUGCUGUAGGGGAAGUAACACAAAGGUAAUUAGAUCAGCAGAGAGAACAGAGCGAAGAUGUUCCUGUACAGUCCAUGUGCAUAUGUGUUUUCCAGUGAGCAGAGACUAAAUUCUGCUUAAUUUCAUCUAAGUCCCCUUUGGUAAAGCGGAGCGAGUUUCACGGUGGUUUAAUGGCGAUCUUCGGGAGCAAAAUAAAGAAAGAAGCACCCGUCGGAAACUCUCUGUGUCCCUUUUAUGGAUACCAAUGGGCAGCUACGCCUUUUAUUGAUUGUGUUUUUGUACAGGGAGUUAGGGAAGUAAUUGUAUUUUCUUUUUUUUUGUUUACAAAGUAGGGAAUUUAAAGGGUAAAAGAAUUAGUUGUUUCUGUUUAUUUUGGCCUUGUCGGCUCCUGAAGACAUACCUCCAGUUUUAAUGUGAAAUUUGUUAUUCUCAUUAAAAAUAUUGUUUAUUCAUUUAA